rnacentral:rRNA from 1 species
GRAGGGACCAAGCGUAGUUCGGAUUUACUGGGUGUAAAGCGCGCGUAGGCCGUUNAGUUAGUUAAUUGUGAAAUCCCGAAGCUCAACUUUGGAACUGCAAUUGAAACUGCUCGACUUGAGUUUGAUAGAGGAAAGCGGAAUACAUAGUGUAGAGGUGAAAUUCGUAGAUAUUAUGUAGAACACCAGUUGCGAAGGCGGCUUUCUGGAUCAACACUGACGCUGAGGCGCGAAAGUAUGGGUAGCAAACAGGAUUAGAUACCCUGGUAGUCCAUACCAUAAACGAUGAUUGCUAGAUGUUGGAAAUUUAUUUUCAGUAUCGCAGCUAACGCAUUAAGCAAUCCGCCUGGGGAGUACGACCGCAAGGUU